rnacentral:tRNA from 1 species
GCAAUGGUGGUAUAGUGGUGAGCAUAGCUUUCUUACAAGCAGUUGACCCAGGCUUGAUUCCUGGCCAUUGCA